GGCUAGGUAGUAUAGUGGUUAUACAAAGGAUUGCAAAUCUUUUAAUAUCAGUUCGAAUCUGAUUCUAGCUUUUCUCCA
rnacentral:tRNA from 1 species